GACGAACGCUGGCGGCGUGCCUAAUACAUGCAAGUCGAACGCAGUGGGGACGGGUGAGUAACACGUGGGUAACCUCCCAUCAGAGGGGAUAACACUUGGAAACAGGUGCUAAACCGAUACUGAUGGAUGGACCCGCGGUGCAUUAGCUAGUUGGUGAGGUAACGGCUCACCAAGGCAACGAUGCAUAGCCGGCCUGGGAGGGGGAUCGGCCACACUGGGACGUGUACACGGCCCGAGCGCCAACGAGAGGCAGCAUUGGGGAAUCGACGGCGAUGGGCGAAAGUCUGACCGAGCAACGCCGCGUGAGUGAAGAAGGGUUUCGGAUCGUAAAACUCUUUUGUUAGAGAAGCGGUAUCUAACCAGAAAGCCACGGCUAACUACGUGCCAGCAGCCGCGGUAAUAC
rnacentral:rRNA from 1 species